rnacentral:lncRNA from 1 species
UUUUUUCUUUUUUCUUUUUUUUCCCCUAAAGCUGCACCUGUAGCAUAUGGAAAUUCCCGGGCUAGGGGUCAAAUCAGAGAUACAGCUGCAGGCCUAUACCUUAGCCACAGCAACACCAGAUCUGAGCUGUGAAUUUGACCUAUUUCCACAGCUCAUGGCAACACUGGAUACUUUAACACAAUGAGCGAGGCCAGGAAUUGAACCGGCAUCCUCAGAGAUGUUAGUUGGGUUCUUAACAUGCUGAGCCACAACAGGAACUCCUCCAAGUACAAUUUUCUUUUCUCGCCCUUUUGGAGGAUUUCAUUUUUAGAUGGAAGGAACUUCAGAGCACAGCAAAGUUGCUCACCUAAUCUGAUCACACUCAAGCCAAGAUCUUGAAGUCUGAGGUUAGUAAGGCGUAACAUACUUUCCCUGUGGAUUUGAAAGGGAAUUUGAAAUGAGUAAGAUAGCAAAGCAUAUUCCACAGGGCUGACUGCUCCAGCCAUGGCUUUGAGUCACUGCAUCUGUGUCCCAGGAGAGGAGCCCCUGCAGUGCUGAGGUGUCCGAAGCUAUAUUCGUGGUUUUCUGCUGAGUGCAGACACGUGAUGGCAAUGCUGGGAAGUGCUCUCAGAGCUACAUUUUGUCCAGCUAUGACUUUCAGAGGCAGCCAGGGACACCACUGCAAGUCAUAGGGAGGCCACCUAGGGGACAACUGAGGCUGUGGUGUGUGCUGAGAAAUGAUUCCAUCAAUGGCUGUUUAGGGGCAUAUGAAUCCACCUCACAUUUUCUAUCCCUCUGAUACGUGUAUUUUAGCAGAAGUGGCAAGUAAUCUGGAUUAAGUUUAUUUCUCUCCGCUGAACUUUAAAUUCUUUUUGCUGUGGAUUUCUGUGGUCUCCUUGUGGCAAAGCUGCCUUGCCAUGUUUGUCAAAGCUUUCUGCAAAGGGGAGAGGUUUGGCUAUGGGUCAAGCAGCCUUAGCCAGAGUGUAAAGUUGCUUGAAAACUACAAAAGGAACAAACCUGAGCACCCCAGGGACGGGGUACAGAACUGUGCAGGUGGGGCAAGGAGCAUGCAGCUUUUAGUGAAGUGUUGCUAUUCCCCAGGCUGAAUAGCAACAUGAUGGCUCUUCAGAAAGGUGGGGAGAGUUUUAGUGUAAUCAUACUGAAUGAAACGGGAUUGAGGGGAGUAUUACCUGAAUUUAGCCAAAACACUGAGAUUUCAGAAAGUUAGAAGGCUUAUGAGAAAUGAACAGCAGUAUCUUGACCUGACAAAGACUCUCACCUCUCAAGGACCCAAUACCUGCAGGUGAGAAAUAAUAGCAGGUGACCCACCAAUCAUGGAGCUGAGGGAAGAUCGGGCCCCAUGACUCCAGUCCCACUGGCCUCAUUUUCACAGAGCAAAUCUCAUGCAAGAGCUGAGAGUCAAGUUCAGAGCCCUCACCAUGGCUUACAAGGCCUCCUGCUUCUGAUGCCAGCUGAUCCCUGCCCUCUCUCCCACUCCUUCCCCACCUAACACUGCAGCAUCCAAGCUAAGUGAACUUGGGUUCUUUGUACUCCUGGUGAAUUCUCUGCCUGUGCUAUUCCUUCUGCCAGCAACAUGGCCCCUUCUUUGUCCUUAGCAGCCCCCUUGACUUAAACUGUUAAGUACCCCUUCUUCCAGGAAGCCCUCCCUUCUCUGCCCCUGAAGUCUGGGUUAGUGAUCCCUCCUAUAUCACCCUGUGCUUGAUGACUUGUUUAUGUAACUAUACUCACUCCCUUAAUGAAACCAAUACUGUUCUUGACUAAGUGCCAGUACUAAUAAUUGUGUUAAUAGUAAGACAAGUGCUAAGCCAGGAGUUAAGAGCUAGCAUGCAUGUUUUUAUUUUCAGCACCAGCAGAAUCUGGCAUAUAUAAGCUCUCUAUAAAUAUUAGUGGGAUGAAAGAAGGAUCCGAGUUCAGACAUGCAUUUGAUUCUGGGACUAUGUCCUGACGUCUUCAAAGUCAAAAUUGUUUAUUGCCUUUCUUAAUAUAGAAGCAAUGCUUAUGCACUACAGAAAAAUUAGAAAAUGCUUUGAAGCAGAACAAUAAAAAAUUUAUAAUUCCACCACGCAUAGUCAGUCAUUGUUAGCACACAUUAUAUUUUUCUGCAUCUUAAUUGAGGUUUCGGAAGUUCCUUUUCCCAAUAUUGGCUGUCCUAAUCAUCUUUAUUUUUUUUUAUUUUUAUUUUUUUUUUUCUUUUUGUCUUUUUUGCUUUUGUUGUUAUUGUUGCUAUUUCUUGGGCCGCUCCCGCGGCAUAUGGAGGUUCCCAGGCUAGGGGUUGAAUCGGAGCUGCAGCCACCGGCCUACGCCAGAGCCACAGCAACUCAGAAUCCGAGCCGGUCUGCAACCUACACCACAGCUCACGGCAACGCCGGAUCGUUAACCCACUGAGCAAGGGCAGGGAUCGAACCCACAACCUCAUGGUUCCUAGUCGGAUUCGUUAACCACUGCGCCACGACGGGAACUCCUAAUCAUCUUUACAUGACAACAGAAAGGUGGUUUUCAACUUGAUACAUAGGUCUGAAGGUCUUUUCAUUGUACUUGUUAUUUUUAGUCAAGCCUCUACUGUUUUUGUUGUUUUUGUUUUUUGGUCUUUUUUUAGGGCUGAACUCACGGCAUGUGGAAGUUCCCAGGCUUGGGGUCCAGUCAGAGCUAUAGCCGCUGGCCUACACCACAGCCACAGCAACUUGGGAUAUGAGCCACAUCUUCACCCUACACCACAGCUCACUUAUGUUGGGUCCUUAACCCACUGAGCGAGGCCAGGGAUCACACCUGCAUCCUCAUGGAUACUAGUCAGGCUUGUUACCACUGAGCCACAACAGGAACUCCAAACCUCUAUUGCUAAAUAUUCAGAUAAUUCCUAACUUUUUCUUUUAGUCAAACCACUAUUGUUAAAUAUUUAGAUAACGCCUAACUUUUUUUUUGCUUUAAUAAACAAUAGUGUGAGGAGCAUUUUAUAGGUAAAUAUUUGUGCAUAGUCUAUAUUAGAAUGUUUAUAAUCUUGUAGGAUGAAUUAGCAGGUUGCUCUAUGGAAAGGUCAUGAGUGUCAGGCUGCAGGGAACUGAGUGUUACCUUAGACCCAAUAGAACAGCAGAUUAUGCCAAUUCAAUGUGUGGGGAAAAGAUGUUUUAUUAAUUUAGUAUUUGAUUAUAAUGAGGAGGUUUUCUCCCUUUGAGGGUCACAUGUACCUCAUCUUCUGUGACCUGUCUGCUGUGAAU